rnacentral:rRNA from 1 species
GUGGGGAAUCUUGCGCAAUGGGCGAAAGCCUGACGCAGCCAUGCCGCGUGAAUGAUGAAGGUCUUAGGAUUGUAAAAUUCUUUCACCGGGGACGAUAAUGACGGUACCCGGAGAAGAAGCUCCGGCUAACUUCGUGCCAGCAGCCGCGGUAAUACGAAGGGGGCUAGCGUUGCUUGGAAUUACUGGGCGGAAAGGGCGCGUAGGCGGACAGCUUAGUCAGAGGUGAAAGCCCAGGGCUCAACCGUGGAAUUGCCUUUGAUACUGGCUGUCUUGAGGUUGGGAGAGGUGAGUGGAACUCCGAGUGUAGAGGUGAAAUUCGUAGAUAUUCGGAAGAACACCAGUGGCGAAGGCGACUCACUGGCCCAAUACUGACGCUGAGGCGCGAAAGCGUGGGGAGCAAACAGGAUUAGAUACCCUAGUUAGUCC